GUUAUUUUGGCAGAUUAGUGCAAUAAAUUUAGAUUUUAUUAAUAUAUAUAUAAAGUUAUAUAAAUAAUA
rnacentral:tRNA from 1 species